UUGAAGGAAUGCAUUCGGGCUAGGGUUAGAAAAGGUCCUCUGAGCAUUUGUUGCCAUUCGAAAAGUUCGAUGACUCUCUCGGCUGGUAUUUGUUGCCAUUCAAAAUCGUCAGCAACCAUUGCAAUUACAGCACCUUAAGCAAGCCGUCUCUCUAUCGUGGCUUUUAGAGUACGACAUCCAGAACAAUCUCUCUAGGAUGGACCUAAAGCUGGACACCAAGAAUGUAAUUGACAUGGAGGUGGAGAGUAUUUCAGAUGUUCAUGUUGUCGAGGAGCAUAGCGAUAAUGAAACGGAUGAUAUUACACAUGUGGGUGGUGAUAAUGGCAGUGACUCUUAUGCAAGUCAGGAUGAGACUUGGACAGUAGAGACAAUAACUUCUGAAUGUAAUGAAAGAGUUGAUGAUCUUGGAUAGAGGUUGACAAGUGGUGGAUAUGAUUUCCAUUUUGGAGAGCAAUCAAAGCUUAUAAUAACAUCAAAGAAUUGGUGGAUAUGUGGUGAGUAGUCAAAGUUUAUGAUGUAAGUAUAUGGGUUUUUUUUUUUUGUUUGAACAAGUUGGACACCUAACUUGAAAUUGAAAGUGUGGUUGAGAGUGCUAUUUAAGAAUGUGUAUGUGGUGUGGUGUGGCCGCUUAAUGAAGCUGGUGUGCUUCUAAAAGUUACUCUUUCCUUCCCCAUUCACAGAUCAACACAUAUCUUGACAAAGAAGCAUUUUGAUUUAUUUUAUGAUUUCAUCAUUUUUGUUUUUCUUUUUUCUUUUUGUUACUUUUGGGGAUGGAGGGUUGGA